rnacentral:rRNA from 1 species
CAGCCGCCGCGGUAAUACAGAGGGUGCGAGCGUUAAUCGGAAUUACUGGGCGUAAAGCGCGCGUAGGUGGUUUGUUAAGUUGGAUGUGAAAUCCCCGGGCUCAACCUGGGAACUGCAUCCAAAACUGGCAAGCUAGAGUAUGGUAGAGGGUGGUGGAAUUUCCUGUGUAGCGGUGAAAUGCGUAGAUAUAGGAAGGAACACCAGUGGCGAAGGCGACCACCUGGACUGAUACUGACACUGAGGUGCGAAAGCGUGGGGAGCAAACAGGAUUAGAUACCCCUGUAGUCCCUGUCUCUUAUAC